AUUGAACGCUGGCGGCAGGCCUAACACAUGCAAGUCGAACGAGUGGCGGACGGGUGAGUAAUGUCUGGGAAACUGCCCGAUGGAGGGGGAUAACUACUGGAAACGGUAGCUAAUACCGCAUACCAUCGGAUGUGCCCAGAUGGGAUUAGCUAGUAGGGGGGGUAACGGCUCACGUAGGCGACGAUCCCUAGCUGGUCUGAAAGGAUGACCAGACACACGGGAACUGAGCCACGGUCCAGACGCCUACGGGUGGCAGAAGUGGGGAAUAUUGCACAAUGGGCGCAAGCCUGAUGCAGCCCUGCCGGGGGUAUGAAGAAGGCCUUCGGGUUGUAAAGUACUUUCAGCGAGGAGGCGUUACUCGCAGAAGAAGCACCGGCUCACUCCGUGCCAGCAGCCGCGGUAAUUC
rnacentral:rRNA from 1 species